rnacentral:rRNA from 1 species
GACGAACGCUGGCGGCGUGCUUAACACAUGCAAGUCGAACGGAAAGGCCCUGCUUUUGUGGGGUGCUCGAGUGGCGAACGGGUGAGUAACACGUGAGUAACCUGCCCUUGACUUUGGGAUAACUUCAGGAAACUGGGGCUAAUACCGGAUAGGAGCUCCUGCUGCAUGGUGGGGGUUGGAAAGUUUCGGCGGUUGGGGAUGGACUCGCGGCUUAUCAGCUUGUUGGUGGGGUAGUGGCUUACCAAGGCUUUGACGGGUAGCCGGCCUGAGAGGGUGACCGGCCACAUUGGGACUGAGAUACGGCCCAGACUCCUACGGGAGGCAGCAGUGGGGAAUAUUGCACAAUGGGCGGAAGCCUGAGCCAGCAACGCCGCGUGCGGGAUGACGGCCUUCGGGUUGUAAACCGCUUUCGCCUGUGACGAAGCGUGAGUGACGGUAAUGGGUAAAGAAGCACCGGCUAACUACGUG